rnacentral:rRNA from 1 species
GAUGAACGCUAGCGGCAGGCCUAAUACAUGCAAGUCGAGGGGCAACAGGUGUAGCAAUACAUGCUGGCGACCGGCGCACGGGUGCGUAACACGUAUGAAACCUACCUAUAACUUGGGGAUAGCCCGGAGAAAUCCGGAUUAAUAUCCAAUGACACUGUGAGAUGGCAUCAUCUUAUUGUUAAAGAUUUAUCGGUUAUAGAAGGUCAUGCGGCCGAUUAGCUAGUUGGUGAGGUAAUGGCUCACCAAGGCCACGAUCGGUAGGGGACCUGAGAGGGUGAUCCCCCACACUGGUACUGAGAUACGGACCAGACACCUACGGGUGGCAG